rnacentral:rRNA from 1 species
AUGCUCCCUUACGAUUUCGUUGCUUCUACCUUGCAUUACAUGAUACCAUCACUUAAGAUUGAUUUGAAAACUCAUUUGAUUGGAUAUGAUGAUAUAUACCCUGUUAGUGGCAUUACUCUCAUUUGUGAUGAUCAUAGUUACUUUCCUCGUGCUAGUCCUAUGCUUAAUGAAACAUAUCAUUCCCAUGCUAGUCUUGAGCUUAAUGGUAAAUAUCAUCCUCAUGUUAGUGUUGACCUUGCUGAUUUCUACCAUCCUAAACAUAUGCUUUAUAGCUAUGGUUAUGUAAUUGGAUAUUCGAUUGAUGACUUGGAGGGUAUUAUCCCUACCACUUGCAUUGUCUCUUCCAUUGAGUGCUCUUUCAGGUUCUUGCUUGUGCACGAUCCACUACACGCUGACCAAGUUCGAGAUGACAUUCCCUGGGACCCCGGUGGACCUAUGGCAUGGGGAUGA